ensembl:misc_RNA 7SK 7SK RNA
GGAUGUGAGGGCGACCUGGCUGGAAAUCUGUCACCCCAUUGAUCUCCGGGGUUCUUUUGGCUGAUCUGGCUGGCUAGUUGGGUUCCCCUCCUCCCUCGAUGCUCCUUGUGCAUCCAUCCUGAAGCUCCUUGCCAGAUUGAAGGUCAUGACCUUCCCCCAUAGUGGAGGACUAUUCUCUUAGUCGAGGGUAUGAGUAGUUGAACUCCCCUGCUAGGACCUCCAAACAAGCUCUCAAGAACAGCAGCUGUCUAGUCUGGUUCAUUAGAAAGGAUUUUUGUGAAGAGAAUCUACUU